GAGCGUCCUCCAGGCUUUGACCGUGUCCGAAAUGCUGAGAUUGGGAAUAAAGACUUUGAGCUUGAUGUCCUGGAGGAAGCGUAUACCACAGAACAUUGGCUGGUCAGGAUAUACAAGGUAAAGGACCUGGAUAAUCGAGGCUUGUCAAGGACAUAAAUGUCACGUCCAGCUCUGAUAUGCUUCGCACUGGGCACAUCACAUUUAGGACGUUGAAGAUUUUUUUUUUUUUUUUUUUUUUAAUAUGCAGUUUGUAAGAACAAAGCUGGAUGGCAUUAGAAUUGUCUGAAAGUUUUGUCCUGGGCAGUAUGGGCUGGGCCAAAUGAAAUGACUUUUAUAAUUCUAAACAGGUUACCAAAUGAAAUGUCAUGGCUUUACUUUGGUCAAUUAAAGGGGGGAAUUUUUUUUAAAAAUGUGCCUUAUUUGUUUUGACUGACAACUGAUUUGAGGAAGGCAAAACUAUCCUAGGUUGCCAGAAGGACAUAAGCAGACCUUGUCCGUUCUCUUAGCUCCCUAAAUUACCAAAUAGAGACGUCUUUCUCAAAUCAGGAAAACUAUCAAAGACCAAUUCAGAUCCUACAUCUACAGACAGUUUUGUCAUACUCUUUGCAUUGCAGCACCUAGUACAAUUCCUUGCAAAUAGCGUGGCUCAAUAAAUUUCUAUUGAAUGAAUAAAUGUGGGACCAGAAGAGUG